AACGUACGCUUGGCGGCACGCCUAACACAUGCAAGUCGAACGAAGUAGCAAUACUUAGUGGCAGACGGGUGAGUAACAUGUAGGUAUCUGCCCCUUUGGCCUGGAAUAACACGAGGAAACUUGUGCUAAUACCGGAUAAGUCUUUACGGAGAAAGCUUUAUGCACCAUUGGAUGAGCCUGCACUUGAUUAGUUUGUUGGUGGGGUAAUGGCCUACCAAGACUGUGAUCAAUAGCUGAUUUGAGAGGAUGAUCAGCCACAUUGGGACUGAGACACGGCCCAAACUCCUACGGGAGGCAGCAGUGGGGAAUCUUGCACAAUGGAGGAAACUCUGAUGCAGCGAUGCCGCGUGAGUGAAGAAGGCCCUUGGGUUGUAAAGCUCUUUCGUCGGGGAAGAAAAUGACUGUACCCGAAUAAGAAGGUCCGGCUAACUUCGUGCCAGCAGCCGCGGUAAUACGAAGGGACCUAGCGUAGUUCGGAAUUACUGGGCUUAAAGAGUUCGUAGGUGGUUGAAAAAGUUAGUGGUGAAAUCCCAGAGCUUAACUCUGGAACUGCCAUUAAAACUUUUCAGCUAGAGUAUGAUAGAGGAAAGCAGAAUUUCUAGUGUAGAGGUGAAAUUCGUAGAUAUUAGAAAGAAUACCAAUUGCGAAGGCAGCUUUCUGGAUCAUUACUGACACUGAGGAACGAAAGCAUGGGUAGCGAAGAGGAUUAGAUACCCUCGUAGUCCAUGCCGUAAACGAUGUGUGUUAGACGUUGGAAAUUUAUUUUCAGUGUCGCAGGGAAACCGAUAAACACACCGCCUGGGGAGUACGACCGCAAGGUUAAAACUCAAAUGAAUUGACGGGGACCCGCACAAGUAGUGGAGCAUGUGGUUUAAUUCGAAGAUACGCGCAGAACCUUACCAACACUUGACAUGUUCGUCGCGACUCUAAGAGAUUAGAGUUUUCGGUUCGGCCGGACGAAACACAGGUGCUGCAUGGCUGUCGUCAGCUCGUGUCGUGAGAUGUUGGGUUAAGUCCCGCAACGAGCGCAACCCUCACUUUUAGUUGCCAUCAUUAAGUUGGGCACUCUGAAAGAACUGCCAGUGAUAAGCUGGAGGAAGGUGGGGAUGACGUCAAGUCCUCAUGGCCCUUACGUGUUGGGCUACACACGUGCUACAAUGGUAUCUACAACAGGAAGCAAGACUGCGAAGUUAAGCAAAUCCCUAAAAGAUACCUCAGUUCGGAUUGCACUCUGCAACUCGAGUGCAUGAAGCUGGAAUUACUAGUAAUCGUGGAUCAGCGUGCCACGGUGAAUGCGUUCCCGGGUCU
rnacentral:rRNA from 1 species